UCAGUUUAUAAUUUCUUAUAAAUAUAAAUCAAGCUAGAGCAUUAAUAGCUUCUCAUAUCAGAUUAUAUUGUUCUAGUAUGAUUUUCAAAUGAAAAAAAUAUGGAAUCCAUGAAUUACCUUUUUCAAUGAUUUGGAGUGCUUACAGUUAAAGAACCACACUCAACAAUGAUUUUGUUCUGCAUAAACACAAAAAAAAAAGAACAAAACUUAGUUGCACAAAUGAACCAAUUAACCUUCUUAGAUUUAACUACUAUAAUGACAGCAAAAGAACCAUGAAGAGAGCGGAAAAUAUGUUA